rnacentral:misc_RNA from 1 species
CUCUCUCUCUCUCUCUCUUAAAUAAGCAUGUAUCAUUGGCAGUAAAAUGCAAUUAAUAAACAUAUCCCUAGAAUUCUAUAUCAAACAUAUCAGAUCAAAAUGAAUAUUUGGCUCCAGUAGAUACCAGUAAAUGUAUUUCCUUUCACCUGCUAUCUAUUCUCAACAACAACAACUAGUUAAGAUUAGCAGCUAUUUAAUCCUUUUCACCAUGCAGCUAUUUAAUCCUUUUCACCAU